rnacentral:misc_RNA from 1 species
GAUGAAGAACGUAGCGAAAUGCGAUAAGUAAUGUGAAUUGCAGAAUUCAGUGAAUCAUCGAGUCUUUGAACGCACAUUGCGCCCUCUGGUAUUCCGGGGGGCAUGCCUGUCCGAGCGUCAUUGCUGCCCUCAAGCACGGCUUGUGUGUUGGGCCUCCGUCCUCCUCCCGGGGGACGGGCCCGAAAGGCAGCGGCGGCACCGCGUCCGGUCCUCGAGCGUAUGGGGCUUCGUCACCCGCUCUUGUAGGCCCGGCCGGCGCUUGCCGACACAUCAAUCUUUUUUCCAGGUUGACCUCGGAUCAGGUAGGGAUACCCGCUGAACUUAAGCAUAUCAAUAAGCGGAGGA